UACGAAGGUGGCAAGCGUUGUUCGGAUUUACUGGGCGUACAGGGAGCGUAGGCGGUUGGAUAAGCCCUCCGUGAAAUCUCCAGGCUUAACCUGGAAAGUGCAGAGGGGACUGUUCAGCUAGAGGAUGGGAGAGGAGAGUGGAAUUCCCAGUGUAGAGGUGAAAUUCGUAGAUAUUGGGAAGAACACCGGUGGCGAAGGCGGCUCUCUGGACCGACAUUGACGCUGAUGAGCGAAAGCUAGGGGAGCAAACGGG
rnacentral:rRNA from 1 species